rnacentral:rRNA from 1 species
GGCAGCAGUAGGGAAUCUUCGGCAAUGGACGAAAGUCUGACCGAGCAGCGCCGCGUGAGUGAAGAAGGUUUUCGGAUCGUAAAGCUCUGUUGUAAGUCAAGAACGUAUGUGAGAGUGGACAGUUCACACAGUGACGGUAGCUUACCAGAAAGGGACGGCUAACUACGUGCCAGCAGC